CGCUGCAGCCGGUGAUAGGCUGAAGCUCCGUGUGACGUGCCGGGCUAACAGGAAGUAAGAAGAAUACAGCCCGGGGACCAAACACCUGUACCGGAGCUCCGGGGGCUCGUUGGCAGGAGGUGAGCUCCAGACUGGACAGGGGCAAUUGCUGGAUGUUGAAUAUCUGGAUUUUUCCAAAGCAUUUGAGAUGGUGCCACAUAAAAGCAUCAUCUUUGUUCCAGCUAAAGCACAGGAAGGGAGAAAGUCCAGGAAGUGAGGGCGGGACUAGCGCUCCUUAGUGCUAACCCCUGUCCUGUCUAACAGACUAUCUGAACACAGAGAGGAGGAAGUUA